UUGAGGAGAGAAUCUGCCUCUGUGCUGGCACAGAUUGACGGCACAAACAUUUCUAUUAGGAAUGACAGAACAGCAGAGUCAAGCUGGUUGUGUAUAAAGCAACUACGGUCACACAAAUGAGGAGCCCAGUAUGACCAGGUGGAGGUCUUAGUCCCAAGUUCAAUGGAAUUCUUCCCAUGUUUCCCUGUGGAAGGCUUUCUUCCUUGGAAGCUAGGACCUCUAUUCCAGCAGGACCUAAAGUUUCAGGGAUAAGAAGAGUACAUUUUUUUAGACAAGCCAUUCACCUUUGCCAGGAGAACAAGGACAGUGACAACGUACGCUAGUCACAGCUCUGCUGCUUGGAAGUAUCUGCUUUAUGUUUUGUUGUUCAGGGAUACUCCAGUGUGUGUCGGUCCAUUUCCAUGAGCAUGAAUGUAUUCAGUGUGAUCAUUUAUAUAUUAAGAUGUUACAGGAACAUAGGCACAUGUUAACCCAACAUAUAAUUAUACAUAAACAUGUAUAAUUAUGUAGCUAUAUUGAUUAAAAUUUAU